rnacentral:rRNA from 1 species
GAACGCGAAGAACCUUACCAGGUCUUGACAUCCCUCUGACCGCUCUAGAGAUAGAGUUUUCCUUCGGGACAGAGGUGACAGGUGGUGCAUGGUUGUCGUCAGCUCGUGUCGUGAGAUGUUGGGUUAAGUCCCGCAACGAGCGCAACCCCUAUUGUUAGUUGCCAUCAUUCAGUUGGGCACUCUAGCGAGACUGCCGGUAAUAAACCGGAGGAAGGUGGGGAUGACGUCAAAUCAUCAUGCCCCUUAUGACCUGGGCUACACACGUGCUACAAUGGUUGGUACAACGAGUCGCAAGCCGGUGACGGCAAGCUAAUCUCUUAAAGCCAAUCUCAGUUCGGAUUGUAGGCUGCAACUCGCCUACAUGAAGUCGGAAUCGCUAGUAAUCGCGGAUCAGCACGCCGCGGUGAAUACGUUCCCGGGUCUUGUACACACC